UCUCUCCUCUCGUUUCUGGUUUUGGGUUUUUUGAGAGAGGGUUUCUCUGUGCAGCCCUGGCUGUCCUGGAACUCAGUCUGUAGAACAGGCUAGCCUCUAGCUCAGAGAUCUUCCUGCCUCCUGAGUGCUGGAUUAAAGGUGUUCGCUCCCACGUGGCUCAGCGCCACUAGUACAAUUUUUAUGGCAUCCAUUUUACUACCGGGUAUCUCUGGUAUCACUGUCAUUUGAAUGCUGGCUGUCCCCCGGAGGCUGUCCCCCAGCUCGGCUCGAUUGUAAGGUAGUGGGAAAUCCUCAGAAAGGGACCGCGGAGCCUCAGGAAUAUCUCCCAGUACAGCAAGAUGAUCAACUUCACUCUAUCACACGCUCCUGUCAGAAUGAGAUGUACCAGAGACCCCGGAGAAACGGAGCCAAUUGACCACAGACUGCCACUUUCGAAACGACACCGGACACCUGAGGACAGUGCCCAUGUUCCAAGCCUGCUGAAAUACCCCACACCAGCCUAGCCUCUGCUCCCUGCCUUGCCUCACAGGAUUCCCUCUUCCCAGGGCUGGAGAGCUGGCUCAACGGGUAAGAGCACCGACUGCUCUUCCGAAGGUCCUGAGUUCAAAUCCCAGCAAUGGCAUGGUGGCUCACAACCAUCUGUAAUGGGAUCUGAUGCCCUCUUCUGGUGUGUCUGAAGACAGCUACAGUGUACUUACAUAUAAUAAUAAAUCUUUGGGCCAGAGCAAGCAGGGCCUGAGUGAGCAGAGGUCCUGAGUUCAAUUCCCAGCAACUACUCCAGUUGUUUCUCCCACUGUGGGUCACAUAAUGGCUCCCACAUAAUGGCUCACAACCAUCUGCACAGCUACAAUAUACUC